rnacentral:rRNA from 1 species
UACGGGGGGGGGGUAAGCGUUGUUCGGAAUUACUGGGCGUAAAGCGUGCGCAGGCGGCGCGUUAAGACAGGUGUGAAAGCCCCGAGCUUAACUUGGGAAUUGCGCUUGUGACUGGCGUGCUGGAGUGUGGCAGAGGGAGGUGGAAUUCCACGUGUAGCAGUGAAAUGCGUAGAGAUGUGGAGGAACACCGAUGGCGAAGGCAGCCUCCUGGGCCAGCACUGACGCUCAUGCACGAAAGCGUGGGGAGCAAACAGG